AUUGAACGCUGGCGGCAGGCCUCACACAUGCAAGUCGAGCGAGCGGCGGACGGGUGAGUAAUGUAUGGGGACUGCCCGAUAGAGGGGGAAAACUACUGGAAACGGUGGCUAAUACCGCAUACUAUCGGAUAACCCAUAUGGGAUUAGCUAGUAGGUGGGGUAAAGGCUCACCUAGGCGCAGAUCUCUAGCUGGUCUGCGAGGAUGAUCAGCGAAACUGAGACAGCGACACGGCCCAGACGCCUACGGAGGCAGCAGUGGAGAAUAUUGCACAAUGGGCGCAAGCCUGAUGCAGCCAUGCCGCGUGUAUGAAGAAGGCCUUAGGGUUGUAAAGUACUUUCAGCGGGGAGGCGUUACCCGCAGAAGAAGCACCGGCAAAGUCCGUGCCAGCCGCCGCGGUAAUAC
rnacentral:rRNA from 1 species